CUGGAGACACAAACUGAAGACAAACAACGAAGACAUAAAGCUUCAAAACCAGUAUAAUGAAGUUACUGCUCCUACUCAUCCUCUCUCUGACCACAGGUCGUGAAUCUGAAGUGAGAGCAUGUCACCAUCGAUGGGCUGAAAUCACCUGCAAAUAUCCUGAAACAAAUAACAUAUAUCAGUACAUUGAUGUAGUUCUUUCCAGUGGAACACCUGUACAAAGCUUUAAGAAGGACGUGUGGGAAGAAAAUGGUAGAUUUUGCCUCUACCAUGAUACAAAAAAUAAAAAUCUCAAGGUUGCAAUAAAACAUGUUAAAGAGCAAGAGUUUGGGAAGUACAGGUGCAGGUUUUUCCAAAGAUCGAACUCAUCUGACAUACAGGAAGGAAAACUGGAGACCGAGCAUGUAAACUGCCCGCGAACAUUUCUCAGCGUGUACAGAACAGCUAACAGCACCAUCACAUGUGAUUAUCCAGAUGUUUACGCGUCCCACAUAAAGUUCUUCUGUAAAAAGAAACGUUUUACCUGUGAGGACAUUUUAUCAACGUCAAAAGGGAAGUUUACUCUCACAGGCAGCAGCCGUGCCUUGAACAUUUCCAUCAGUCAUGCGACCUCACAGGAUGCUGGUGAUUACUGGUGUGGAGUGGAAUCAAAUGAUGGAAGUUACAGAUUAUCACACACACAAGUAAACCUGAAAGUUAUAGAUAUUGAACCUUUGACAUCAACUAUUGGACAGAACUUCACUUACCAGUGUAAGUACAACCGGGAUGCCUCCUCAUGUAUAAAAUUCAUCUGCAAAGGAGAAGAUUCAACUGUAUGCAAACAGCUAGUAACCACCACAGAGCCUGACGUGAACCAGAGGUUUAUAAUGAAAGAGAACAGCGGGAGUAUCACCAUUACAGUGAGAGAAGUAACAGCAAACGAUAGUGGGAUAUACUGGUGUGGAGCAAGAGUCCCUCACAAAGACAAUCAAACACAUGACGACUUCUUUGAUGGAUUUAAUUUGACUCUAGGGACCAAAUCACCUGCUCGAAGAUCAUCAGACAGAGAUGAAUGUGUUUAAUGAGUCUUUAUUUAUUUGUGUUCACAUUCAAAUCACAUACCAAAAAAUACAAAUUAGAUUUUAAACCAUGUUUGAACACAUUAACAAUGCAUUUUCCAUUUGUUAUUAUAGAGCUUUUGCCUGUAACAGAAACAGGUCUUCUAACCACAGCAACCACCCCAGCUCCUCAGAGUUCUGGUGAGAGACUUUAUUUAAUUUAUUUAAUAUCUUAAAUCUGCUAUGAAGGCAAGUGCUGAAGCUGGAUUAAGAUGUUCACACUGUUUAUGAAAACGUAGAAAUAAACUGAUGAUGUGAAAGUCUUAAAACUUUCAAAAGGUUUAUCUUUCCUAUGUUCUUCAGCACCGGCAGUUGAACAAUAAUGUCAUGCUGAAUAAUUUUCUGGUCUAAAUUUCUGUGAUGUAGUGAUGACCUUGAUCCUAUGUGUGGCUGUGUUGCAGCUGAUGUUUGCAAUCAUUUUAUUCCUUAUCUAUAAACGUGAGUACAUUCAUUUUCAUUUCUCAAAAAUAAGACAAUAUUGAGAUUCUUCCAUAUUUUGCAAAGAUAACAUCUAAAAAUCCACAGCAGACAGAGUGACAUUAGCAGAGUCCCCAAAUUCUCCAUCCUAUGACUUAUGAAUACAAGUUAUGAUUAUCUUUUCAAAUUUCUUGUUAAAUCAGAUUAAAUCAAAAUAGAAAAUGGUUCAGUGAUAAUGAUCAGUGCAACUCUGGCAGUUCUUUGCUGGACAGUUUUUCAGAAGCAGCCAGUGGAGGCUGCUGCAUAUCAGUUUAGUGAAAUGUGUUUAUUUUUUUCUUUUCACUUUGCAGGAGUCUCACAUUUAAAAAAUGCUGAAAAUGGAGCUGGAGCAUCGUAUGUCAAACAGGAUAAUGGCAACAACAAAUACCUUGAGGUCUGUGCUGGUGAGGAUACACAGGAGCACCUUCAGGUGUCAGAGUCAGAAAAUGCAGCAAACUCAAUUUAAGUUAGAGCCAACCUUCACUCUGUGCUUUCUCGCCACAUUAUGCAAACAUCAACUUUCAAAGCUGUUCUGUCAAAGCUGCUGGUGAGGUACUCAAACCCAGCUCCUCAGCCUGUGAAUGUUCUACUGUGGAGUUCAGCAAAUGUUCAACCAGCCCGACUUGCCUUUCUAUCAGCUAAAACAACAAAGAGGAAUGUUUUUCUGAUUACUGCGCAUUGCCAAAAAAUGAGGUUUAAAGUUAACACAGCCAAACAAGAAAUACUUUUUAUUCUCAGAGUUCAUAACAGAGUUGGGCAAAAAUAAAUAUCAUUUUUAAAAAUACUGCCCUUUGUUCCUAGAAUAGUCUGUAGAACAAAAUAAAACUGUUAGAACUUGUUACUGUGACUUAAUAUACUUAAUAGUUUAAGUCAAUUUAAAGGAUCAACAAAAUAGAUAUGAGACAACGAGAUUACUCUUAAAAUUGAUUUGAAAUUCAUUGUUUUGUGGUUGGGUAUGGGCUGGUUGUAUUCACUCACACAUGUACUGUUUAGCAGCUGUAUUUGUGUGACAGCUGAUUUUUGUAAUUGUUACAAUUUCUCCUCCUCUCUUGGGCACAUAAAAUGUUACUAAAUAAGGAGAAAUAAAAAACACAAAGAAUUUAACACCCUGCUUCUGGCUUGAUAAGCAAAAGAAAUUCCAUAGAAAUUCCUCGAACACGUUUUAAGACCAGAGGAGACGUUUUAGAGCGGUGGCCCCCAGGUUGUGGAAUGCGCUCCCUCCAUCAUUACGUUGCCUUGAUUGUAUUUAUUCUUUUAAAAAGCAGCUUAAGACUCAUUUGUGCUGAACGUUUGACUGUGCUGUUUUUAUGUAUAUCUGUUUUUAUAUUACUGCGAAGCACUUUGUGGUUUUUAUCCUGUACAGAGUGCUAUAUAAAUAAAUUGAAUUGAAUUUUUCUGACUGUAAUUAUUAGGAAUAAUAGGAUUUUCAGCUAAAGCGAUAUUCACAAUAAACAAUAAAAAGUCAUACCAUU
ensembl:lncRNA